UCAGGCAAAGAUAUGGGAAAUAGGAAUAACAGUUCUUUACUAAUAUAUAUAUAUAAAACAAGGCAGGGAAAAAACUGAUCUAAACUGACAGUCAGAUACGACCUGACCCUAUUAGUCAGGGUAGCGGUAGCAGUCCGAUAAGGUGGUGGCUGCAGACCUCCUGAAGUGAAUAGAUGUGGUUCUGUUGAAGCAGUGAUCCUGUGUAGAAAGAUCUGGUCUCCCUCAGAAGGUCCAGUGGUAGGUAUGUAGCUCUUGUCCUCUGGAAAUCCAGUGGGAAAGGCUGCCUGUAGUCUUCAAAAAUCCCAGUUUAUAUGCAGGAUGAGAUGCUUGGUUCCUCCCUCUGGGCGGAGCAUCUCACAAUGGAAUGACUCAUGAGAUAAGGCGCUGGUGGGCCAUUAACAGGACACAGUGUUGAGGGAGGAGGCAGGGAGCACUGCUCCACCUGGUUUUAACAGCUCAUGAAGAUGGUGAUAGAAUACAUGCUUGUGGGCACAUCUUGCAUUGUAACUUAGGGCACCACUACAGCCCAGCCGACUCCUGGCCCUGCCCACCCACAAACCCUUGCUGCUGUAUUUCUUUAGACUGGUUUCCUAAGGAAGGUAGGCUUCUAGAAACAUGGCUUUUUGUUCAAUCAUCUCACUCCCUUGGCAUCCAUGAAAUAUAAAAGCAAUUAAACAUUGCCCUAGUUGCACAUGUUAACUAGAGGGGGGAUGGAGAAUUAAAUUCCUAUCAGGUUUGUGGAAAUAUAUGACAGGGAUAGAGGACAACCCCCUCAGAGACCCUGUGUUGCUGUGUGAUCUCUGCAUAUAUGAGGACCUGGGGAAAGCCCAUAGUACCUCUGCCCUCUCCUCUGUUUUGUGGCUUAUGUGUGUAAGGACGUAUUUUCCCAGUGAUGUCCCUCUGUUCACUGCCACAUUGCUGGCAUCUUUGCCCUUCAGCCUCCUGCUGCUUCCCCAGCCCAGCCCAGCCCAGUAGGUAAAUCCCUGUCCCUAGGUGUGACUGAUAGGACCAGAAACAUGCCUGGGAUGGUCCCGUGCCAGCUGGAUAGAGAACACAUGACUGGCCUGGAGACAGUGAAGGCUGAGACCUGGCACAGUGCAGCCACAGAUAUGACAUUUGUGAGCUCUGCAGCUCAUCACUGAGGCAGGAUUGGCAGCAGCCUGUCUGAGAAGCAAGGGUCAAACAGGAAAGAGCUCUCACCCAGUGUACAGCUUGGGUUUUUCCCAGACAGCUGCAGCCUCACUGCCUCUAAGGAGGUGUCUAUGCCUUUGGAUGGGAAUCUCUGUGGCUCUUCCUCAAAGGUGCGAGAACCUGAACACAGCACAGCGAGCCCCAGCCUGGAUUCAGCCUCCUUGUUCCUGGACUGGCAUUGCUGGAAACACUGGGUUUCACCAUAGGAGAGCUUUGUGUCUCAGCCUCCCCGGCAGAGAGAGGCCCCAUGUGAAUGGCUCAGGAGCUCCCUGAGGUCUUUGUGUGGGAAAUAAGGCUCCAGGCACCUUCUGUGCUUUUGGGACUGCACAGCCCUUUCCUCUGCUGCUCGUAGGCAGGUGGGCAGCAUUCCCAGGCUGGGGCUGUGCCUUCCUCCAGCAAGCUGCUGGCAGAGUGCCUGGGCAAAGGAGACAAGAAGGAACACAGCUCUGAUACAGUGUCUGGCCUCUGUGCAGGGACGAUUUCUGUGGAGCCAUUGGAUGCCGCUGCAGUGGGGCUGAGUGCAAAGGGACGAGGGAAUGGGCAUUUCCUUUUGCACUGAAGAGCGCCCCAGACAGCUUGACUUUCCUGCAUCCCCUCUCCCUGGCUGCUGCGGGGAGACAUGCUGUACAUCACAAGAGUGAUGGGAAAGUGUCGAGCUUUGCACGUGACACUUUUCCUUCACCACCUCUCUAUCUCCCCACCCCAGCUAUCCCGAUCAUCUUUCCCCCUCAGGCAGGCUUAGCUGCAGAGAAACCAUGGCUGAAGAAAGACCACUGACAAGUGAAGGAUUGCCGGUAAACAGAAAUCAACCAGCAGCAAAUGGAGCAGACUGUGCGGGAACUGCCCGCGAAGCGUUUUACAGCAGGGGAAGGACCCUCCAAGACAUCUGCACCCUGCAACAUCACUUCUUCUGGCAGUUCUCCCCAAUGCCAGUGACAUUAAAAAGGGGGGGGGGGGGGGGGGCGUGUCUCAGUGGAGGAUACUGACAGGCUGCCCAUUUGCGUGGGUGUGAAGCUGAAACACGCUGGAGAGGGCUGUGGUGCCGUUCUAGGUGCCGAGCGGGUUUCUGGCUCCUGCCGGUCCUGCGCUGGCACCACAGCCCCUGUUCUAUCACGUGUGGAUCGUUAUCUGCUUUCUCUUUCGCUUCUGAGGGCAGCGCUCUUUCCCGAUAGUCAGCUGAAUACGAGCAAGAAAACAAACCAAGCCCAGCUGCGCAGUGUGAGCCGGGGUCAAGUUUGCGUUCCUUCUCCCUGCUGUGCAGAGCAGCACGACAGGAGCAGAAACGACCAAAAUUCGCACCACAAUUAUGCUAAACUUCAAGAAGAGGAACAACAUAAAUCAUGAGAGAACAUGUUAAAGAUCUGUCUAGGUUUGCAUCACAGUGGUGUGGUGAUGCUGAAACAGACUGUUGGCUGGAAUAACCUGCCCACCCUACGGAGCAUUACAUAAAUGCUCUCAAAAAUACAGACUUCCUGUUGCUCAGAUCUCCAAUCUGAGGCCCUGGAUCUUACUGUCUGGGUGAGAUCUGGCUCAGAGAGAAUGAGAUUCACUAAUGAGUACUUACAGAUGCAACCACAGCUAAUGACAGCUGCAUUUUAAACUUCAAGAUAAACUGUAAAAUACUCUGAAAAAUCAGGUAUUGAAGACCUAAAGGUGGUGAGUACUCUUAAUUUACCUAACUCCUAAAAACCCACUUAUAAAAUAGAAAAAUGCCCCACAAAACACAGAGUGAUAAUGUCAUUUUUUAGCCUACACCUUAUUGAUCCAUAUCAUAGGAAAAUGUGACAGUGGCUUGAUACUGAGUGAGGUGCUGAUUUGAAAACUUUUGGAGCAUGGUAAUUUUGUACUAAUGCUCUUCAGAUCUCCUGAAGCAUCCAACUUACACUGAGGGUUUGGGGCUUUAAUUUUUUUAUUAUUAUUUUUUC